CGCGCAGGCUGUCUGGUAAGUCAGAUGUGAAAGCCCGGGGCUUAACCCCGGAAGUGCAUUUGAAACUACCAGACUUGAGUAUGGGAGAGGGAAGUGGAAUUCCUGGUGUAGAGGUGAAAUUCGUAGAUAUCAGGAGGAACAUCGGUGGCGAAGGCGACUUCCUGGACCAAUACUGACGCUGAGGCGCGAAGGCGUGGGGAGCAAACAGGAUUAGAUACCCUGGUAGUCC
rnacentral:rRNA from 1 species